CCUCAUCUAUAAAUAGACCUCUCCUCUUCCCUUCGUCCAAGCCUAUCCAACCUUGGCCUUAAGCCAUAACUUCCGUUCUUCCUCCGCUUCUCAACCUCUCUCUCUCUCCCUCUCUCUCUCUCUGGCCCUCUUUGUAGUCUUCCACAGCUUUCUUGAACUGCAUCCAUCCUUGUAUGCUAGGUGCUUUGAGUUGCAGUUCAAUAAAGCUGUGGGAAAUUACAGAGCGAGACCAAUGAAGAAGAAGUUCUGAAGGCUCUCAGUUCCAUUCAUCUCCUUUGUUAAGAACUGAUGGGAAUUUAUUCAUGGAUCUCUCUUUUGGGAGAGUUUAUCUUCCAUCAAAACUACCGAGUUAUAAUUCUUGGACUAUCUGAUGGUUUUAACCAUCUAAUCAAAGCUAUCAAAGAGAACAAUCCCAAACCAGAUAUCUACUACAAAGGCAAUCAUAUGGAAUAUGGGACAUCCAUCUCUCUUUCAGCGAUGAGGCCAGAUGAAUCAUUUUUCCACUCCCUUGUUUUUGAUACAGAAGUGCUUAUUGGCCUUCUUUAAGUUCAGAAGGGUUUGCUCACAAUUGUGCUUUGUAACCAAUGUAUACUUGUCAAAAGUUUUGUGAAUUCUAAAUGCUACAAUGUGUAUCAUGGGCGAAUGUUCUUCAAAUUUUCACUUAAUUGUGCACCAUGUAUUGAAAAUUUGGGACAUUGUUUGGUGACUCAAUGUGUGUGGAAGGUAGCUAAGCAUGCUAAAAUAACAUAAUGGCCAAGUUCAGAUA